UAAAAAUAUGAGUGUCUUUUCG
rnacentral:siRNA from 1 species